rnacentral:rRNA from 1 species
UAGGGAAUCUUCCGCAAUGGGCGAAAGCCUGACGGAGCAACGCCGCGUGAGUGAUGAAGGUCUUCGGAUCGUAAAACUCUGUUAUUAGGGAAGAACAUAUGUGUAAGUAACUGUGCACAUCUUGACGGUACCUUAUCAGAAAGCCACGGCUAACUACGUGCCAGCAGCCGCGGUAAUACGUAGGUGGCAAGCGUUAUCCGGAAUUAUUGGGCGUAAAGCGCGCGUAGGCGGUUUUUUAAGUCUGAUGUGAAAGCCCACGGCUCAACCGUGGAGGGUCAUUGGAAACCGGAAAACUUGAGUGCAGAAGAGGAAAGUGGAAUUCCAUGUGUAGCGGUGAAAUGCGCAGAGAUAUGGAGGAACACCAGUGGCGAAGGCGACUUUCUGGUCUGUAACUGACGCUGAUGUGCGAAAGCGUGGGGAUCAAACAGGAUUAGAUACCCUGGUAGUCCACGCCGUAAACGAUGAGUGCUAAGUGUUAGGGGGUUUCCGCCCCUUAGUGCUGCAGCUAACGCAUUAAGCACUCCGCCUGGGGAGUACGACCGCAAGGUU